rnacentral:lncRNA from 1 species
CAUUACCAAGAGUCAUGUAUCGUCUCAAGUUUUUCUAAUUAAACUUCCAAGCAAGCCAUAUUCUAGAAUUCAGAAGUGUCAUAGUAAAUCUCAAUUUUUUGAUAAGUUUUUAAUAAAUCUGAAUGAAUAUCUGAGAAAAAUGCCAUACAAAUUUGCCUUGGGACAUUGCAAUAUGCUUAGUUAGGCAAAUCACAAGAAAACUUAGAUAUAAUGCUUGUUCAAGCAAAGAUCUGUUGAUAUAUAGGAAGUCCUCAACUUAUAAUAGUGUUAUGUUCAAAAAUUUCAUUUGUAAUUUGAAUCCAUCAUAACUCAGAACACUAUUUUCCAUAGUUGCAAUAUUAUAAAUGUAGGUUAACUCCCUAGCCACCAGAACUUACAAGAAAAUAUCAUGAUUUUAUGGAUUUGAGCACUUAAAAUGCUUAGCAUCACUGCUUAAGUACCUAAAGAAAUCCAGAAAACAAGAAUCAUUUGGCAGAUUAUAAAUAGAUAAAUGGGUUCAAAUUUCAAAACGUUUUUAUCUUUUUUAGCCAUGGUGUAGUUAGAGAUGAUGCAGUCACAAGAAUGUCAGUUCAACAAUUUUUUUUUGCUCAAGUUAAAUGCAAUAUAAGAGCAAUGGAACCUAAACAUUUAAACGUUGUGAUUCUUAGAAUUUGCUUGCUCUAAACAGUAAUCUAACAAAAUUACUAACUGUAAUUUUGUUGAAACCUGAACAAUUUGUUAAUCUUUACCAUUUUAGCACUUUGAUUCAAUCAGCUGCUUGAUAUCUUCUUACCUUCUAUCAAAUACCUCAAUAAUUCCAACAUAAUGAAUUUGAGUUAACUGUUAACACAUACAACUAUGAGACUGAACCUGAUGAUGAUGGUGAUCAAUAUUGUGGUCUGCUGAUACUGAUGAUGAUAGGAACAUCCUGCUGUCUCUAGAAAAACGUGAAACCUGACAAGAUUGAAAUGCAUAUCUUGUAAAAGCUUAUCAUUUUUGAAAGUUUCAAUCAAAGGACUCCAUUCUUGUCAUUGAAAAAGAAGAUAAUUGGCAGAUUUGUCUGUUAUCUCCAAUAUAAAAAGUUGAGCAAUCAAUUUCAUUUGCUUUAUCAAUAUGAAGACUUGAAAUUGAAGUACCCAAUAAAAAAAAAUCAAUGAAAGGGUAAGAGAGAUGUCCCUUGACGUGCAAACCGAAAAUGCAGUUGCUCAUGAUGAUUUGUACCAUCAGAAUAUGGUCAUUGCAAUUUAAGCAAGAACUCUGACUGGACAUCCUUUUCAAGGCUUCAUCCUUGUGAUUAUACAAGUUCAAACAAAGAAACAUGAUUGUCCAGAUCCAUUUCACACAAAGUUGGCAAAUUAUUUUGAGAAGAUUAAAAAAAACAGAAAAUGAUAGAUGAAUUUGUCAUUAAAACAAAGCAAGUGAUUGAAUAACUUCCUUCUUCCUUCAUGGUUAUCAAUGCAAAUCAAAGCUAUUUUGAUAGAGCUGCAUUCAAGAUGGACUUUGUCAUUCCACAGUAAUGAAGAGAUCUAUGCUGAAGUUAGAUCUGCAUCAGCUAUUAUUCAUUCAUAUAUGAUAUAUCCAAUUGUGUAAAUGGAUGGAGAACUGAUGAGUCCACUAUACAUCCUCUGCACCAAGCCAAUUGAUCACUUUCCAGUCAGCAAAAAUGCCAAUUCAUCCAUUGUUCAUUCCUAUAUCUCCUCUUCAUCAAAACAAGCUUCUCCUUUUCAUUGAUUCAUAGAGAACCAACAUAGUUGAAGAUUUGAUGCAGAAAUCAGAAAAUAUUGAACUUCUACUGCUCCUCAUCUCCAAUGAUACAUCUCUCUCAUUCAACUGCUUGAUGUUUUCUUCUGUCUUUAAAAGAACUUUGCAAAAUACAUCACUGACACAGUUCUUAUAUCUUCUGAUUUCAAAAUCUGGCAAUAAGAGAAUUUCAUCAACCUUUGAUCACUUGUUCACUUCAAGUUUAUAGCUCCAAUUUUCCAAAAUAUGAUCUGACUAGCUGAAGCCCGCAAAUUUUUGC